GUUCCUGACAAGAAGGUAUGAUACUGACAUUGUAUUUUACCCUCACAACACAUAUUUCAGCUGAUACAGUAUUUAAUUAGUACUUCUCCCUUUUUCAUCCUAGUUUGUUCUUAUUGUUGGUGACUCUCACCUGCGCCCGUUUGUUGAUGGGGUUGUGCCAUUGCCUGAAGGACGGAUGUCCUUUGGGUUCAUGUCCACACCAGGGGCCUGUGCUGACGAACUGAGGAUUGAGAUGGUGCAUGCUGCUGUGCCUCGCAAUCCUGACUUGGUCAUCGUCAUGGCUCCUAGCAACAACCUGACAACCCAAGGGUCUCUUGAGAAGUCGUCAACAGAUUUUGCUAAACUUCUCUCCACUGCUGUUGGGAGGUGGUUCAAGGUGGGGCUAUGAUCUCAUUAACACAUUUUGUAGUAUCUCAAUCAGUAGUUAUGCUCUGUAAUAACUCUCCUUGUCCUUCUGGUGUGUUUGCUAUUUUUAUAGGUAAUUGUGUAUGACGUUCCACCUCGGCUGAACCACCCUUUAGACCACCAGGAGCUCCUGCGGCAGGAAUUCCGUCGAGUCGCA